CCCCUCUCAGGGUCACACCUGGAGAGUUUCCAGUACUCUACCAGUCUCGACAAUGGAAGGAUAGGUCAAGUAGAGGCCCAGUCAUUCCAUUCCUGGCUUGGCCAGUGGCUAGCGAGUGGAAGGCAAUCUGCUACAAGU